GAUUUUAUACCAUGUUAUUUUUCUAUCUUGAUUUCCUUUUGUCCAGAAGGGAAACGGAGGCAAAGAACGGACAAAAUCAUUAAAAUCAGUUCCACACAAAAUCCAGAGGUCGCUGAGGCAAUAAAUAGCCUAGUAAAUCCAGGUCCUAACCCACUUUUACUGAAUAACCUGAGUAAUUAUCUCUGUUCUUUGCUUCUCUUUUCACAGCAAGCGCUAGGCAGGUGGCCAAACUUUUCCCUAGGCGGGAUCCCAUUACAGGGCACUGUGAAUACAGGUGUGAAGGACUCGGGCGCUGGGACAUAUUCCCACCCAGAGGAGUUUCUUUUCAAGGAGAGGUGGCUCUGGCGGCAGCUAUUUUCCAGUUUUGGCGGUGAGAGUCCUUGAUACACCACUGGGGAAGCUUAGUAAACUAGUUCAGGUGAGGCAUCUUCUCUGAGCUCUCUCGGAAUUUAGGCUGAUUCUUUUCCUCUUUACCUUCCAAAACACUAUCCUCUUAGGAAAGCCUCUAAUCUUCUGAAAAGACCUUGUGGCAGAGGUCUUUGAACUCCCCCUGUCACAGGCCAGAUGGGAGAAAUCCUAUACUCUUUCCCACUCUCUUCUCCUUAAUUCCUCCCUCUAUAUUAAUUAAACCACCAUAAAAUUUCCAAACUGACUUGGGUAUUUUAUUUGGGAUAUUCCCUUGUGACCAAUUAAAUUUAGAUUAAGGCACAAUCCUAAAAUUUCCCCUUACAGUACUAAUACACAGUAUUGAUUCUUAAACAGAGGGCAAGGGUUUAAAUUUUUUUUUUACAGUUGUUUGAGGCACUGCGAAGUGCCCAAUGUCCCACAGACAGUAUCUUUUAGAGAUAGUAUA
rnacentral:lncRNA from 1 species